CUACGCACUCCUACGGGAGGCAGCAUGGGGAAUAUUGCACAAUGGGCGCAAGCCUGAUGCAGCCAUGCCGCGUGUAUGAAGAAGGCCUUCGGGUUGUAAAGUACUUUCAGCAAUGAGGAAGGUGGGUAUGUUAAUAGCAUAUUCAUUUGACGUUAGCUGCAGAAGAAGCACCGGCUAACUCCGUGCCAGCAGCCGCGGUAAUACGGAGGGUGCGAGCGUUAAUCGGAAUUACUGGGCGUAAAGCGCAUGCAGGUGGUUUGUUAAGUCAGAUGUGAAAGCCCGGGGCUCAACCUCGGAAUUUGCAUUUGAAACUGGCAAACUAGAGUACUGUAGAGGGGGUAGAAUUUCAGGUGUAGCGGUGAAAUGCGUAGAGAUCUGAAGGAAUACCGGUGGCGAAGGCGGCCCCCUGGACAGAUACUGACACUCAGAUGCGAAAGCGUGGGGAGCAAACAGGAUUAGAUACCCUGGUAG
rnacentral:rRNA from 1 species